AGACAGCAGCAGCCGCGGUAAUACAGAGGGUGCGAGCGUUAAUCGGAUUUACUGGGCGUAAAGCGUGCGUAGGCGGCUAAUUGAGUCGGAUGUGAAAUCCCCGAGCUUAACUUGGGAAUUGCAUUCGAUACUGGUUAGCUAGAGUGUGGGAGAGGAUGGUAGAAUUCCAGGUGUAGCGGUGAAAUGCGUAGAGAUCUGGAGGAAUACCGAUGGCGAAGGCAGCCAUCUGGCCUAAUACUGACGCUGAGGUACGAAAGCAUGGGGAGCAAACAGGAUUAGAUACCCCGGUAGUCCCUGUCUCUUAUAC
rnacentral:rRNA from 1 species